UGAUUGGUCUAAUUAACCAUAUAGGUUGGACAAGUUUGGCAAAUCACGUUUGCUUUUUUUUUUUUCUUGCAACAAUGAACUCAUCAAAUGCUAAAACUUUUGAGAACAAGACAUGUGGCACAUUCUUAGCCUUCCACUUGUCAUUUGUCACUUUCUUUUUGGGUUCUUACAUUCCAAUUUUAUGCUCUAUCUAUCCUAAACCCAAAAAAAAGGAGUCGGGGAUGCAUUACUAUCCACUAGAAUAUUAAAAGUGUUGACAAGAGACGACUGCGC
rnacentral:lncRNA from 1 species